rfam:Heterocephalus glaber contig187745, whole genome shotgun sequence.
AGUGAUGUAGCUCAGUGGUAGAGUGCUUGCCUAGCAUGCAGUAAGCUCUAGGUUCGAUUCCCAGCAUUGCAA